GUCUUCUCUAAACCUCAACUCUCUGUCCCAGUCUGUCGAAGCGCCUCCAAUGGCGGUCAACCUCCCCUUAUCCACCGCCGGGGAUAUUUCGGAAAUUUUCUUCUCGCUGCUCUUCGUCUUCAGGACGAAGGUUUCCGCCAUGAGGAGCGAGGACCAGCCAUCGCGGGUUCUCCACGAGCUCUCCUCCCUUCUCCUCUAGAUCCUCUGAUCUCCCCGCCAAGCCGGACCGGAGAUACCUCCACCGCCGCCACUGCCGGCUCGGGCAUCAAGGGCGGUGGCGGAGCCCCGGCAAGCAAGGCGGCCGCGGCCUCAUCAUCUCACUUUCCCUCUCUUUCUCAUCGUCUGGCUAUAAGUCUCCAUUCGAGGGUUUCUCUUUCUCUGCUUCUCCUCUCUCAUCCUCCUCUUUCUUUUGCUUCGAGAUCCGAGAUCCGAGAGAGCUCCCAUUAUCGAGGUAUGUCGUAAGGGAUCUCCGACCGUUUUUUGGGGUUCUGAUCUGUGUUUGAGUUAAGAUCUGAUGCAUUUGAGCUCUGGAAUCCGUUUCCAAGUUUCUUUUUUUUUUUUUUUUUUUGGUUCCUUAAUACAUGCUUAAACUAUAUGUGUGUGUUCCAGAAUAUUUCUAGAUGAUAUUGAUGCUAAUGUGAUUCUCUUUUCGGAUUUCUUGAUUCGCUGGAAGAUAUAUGGUGGAGAUUUUCUCCGCGUUCUGAUUCAUAUGAUAUGAUAUUGGCCGUUUUAUUCUGUGUUAAGUUCAUCGGAUCCCUUUUUUUUCGAUAAUGACCUUUAUUGUUUCCAGCAAUUUGGGGAUCGAUCACUGGCAGUUAGUUCUAGAAUGGGUUUCGAUUUUUCUUUUUUCUUUUUUUAAUAUUUUCUUAGGAUAAACCUUUAUAUGGUUUGUGUCCUUUAAUAACUUGUGUGGGUUGUACAUCUGAGAUGAUGGAUAGUUCUGCUUCUCAAGUCUUAUGACUCAGUAGAGGUUACUGAUGCCGGGGUGCUACAAAUGUUCUUUACACAAUCAUGAUGUUACUGAUAUGAUGUACGAGUAGGACUGGAAAAUGUUCUCAUGUUGUUCGCUGGAUCUGGAAAAUAUGCUGGACACUGUAUUUCCAAUCCCAUUUAAAUUGAUGGCUAGAAUUAUUGGGUAAUUAAAAUUCAUCUCAUAAUAUUUCUUCUUAUUUUCUUUAUGUGCUUUCUUGGCCCGACUAUUUAGUUAGAACAAAGUGCACAGAAAAGAGAGGUGCUUCAUUCUGAUGCCCUGGGUGCUAGGGAUGGUGAUGGUACUCGGUUUCAUGGAAAUCGUCUCCAAUCUUUCCGGGUUGGGGCGGGCGAUCCUUCGCCUCGGCUUUCCUUUGGCCUUUAAAGUGUCCUCCAAUGAGGUGCCAGGAAGAUGAAAAUGGAAAAGAACUUAAAUCUCCUUUGACCACCGAUGUCGAAAAGGAUAAGAGGAAGCUUUGUGAAGGAGGUGAUGGUGACGGUAAAUCCAUCAAUGAGAUAACUGCUGCCACGAUCAUGUCAGCAAAUGCUAGAGAGGAGACAGAAGCUUCCAAUUUUAGCCAGGAGUCGAAUCAUCAUCGCCACUAUGCCAUCAAGCUCUAGCAAGUCUGCUCAAGAGCUCUUGCAUCCCCUUCUCCCCCUCUUUUCCAUCAAAACCUGAACUUAGUAAUUUUUUCAUCUGAAAUUCGUUCUGUUGUUAAUUUUCAAUAGUUUUGAGUGGAAACAAUCGUUAACAAUUUGAAGUUAUUGUAAGCUGCAUAUCUACUACUUUUGAACAUAUGCAUAUUGUCAAUUUAGUGAUUUCAGUAAGCACAAUGGGGAAAAAAAUCAAAAUUGUUUUUAGAAAAGAAA